rnacentral:rRNA from 1 species
GACGAACGCUGGCGGCGUGCUUAACACAUGCAAGUCGAACGGUAAGGCCCCAGUUUGGUGGGUCGCACGAGUAGCGAACGGGUAAGUAAUACGUAGGCGACCUGCCCUGCCCUUCUGGAUAAGCCUGAGUAACUGGGAUAAAUACCGGAUAUGACUACGGCGUGGUUGGUGUGGGGGAGAGUUUUGUCGGUGUGGGAUGGGCCCGCGGCUUAUCAGCUUGUUGGUGGGGUAGUGGCUUACCAAGGCGGCGACGGGUAGCCGGCCUGAGAGGGUGAACGGCCACAUUGGGACUGAGACACGGCCCAGACUCCUACGGGAGGCAGCAGUGGGGAAUAUUGCACAAUGGGCGGAAGCCUGAUGCAGCGACGCCGCGUGGGGGAUGACGGCCUUCGGGUUGUAAACCCCUUUCACCAUCGACGAAGGGUUUCGGGCGGUAAAUGGAGAAGAAACACCGGCUAACUACGGU